rnacentral:lncRNA from 1 species
GCAGCCCGGCAGCCACUACACACGGACCCGUGACGUCGGGCGUAGCGCGGCGCACGUCACGGCCGCUCGCUCGUGCGCGCGCACCCCUCCGCCCGGCGGUAGCGGAACCCGCCGCGGGCGCGCGCCCGGCCCAGGGGAGUGGGUCGGCGCCUGCGCAGAGGCCCGCCACGCCCACACACAGGCCACCGCCCCCACCGGCCGGACGGCGCGGGGAUUCCCAGUCCUGGCUCCGCCCCGGCCUCGGCCCCGCCCCCGCCCCUGCCCCGGGGCAGCCUGUGCUGUUCCGUGUGCGCGGCGCAUACGCACCUGGGUUGUCUCGAGCCUGCGGUAGUGGCCAGAUCCCAGACAUCCGAGUAGAUCCCGUGAAAAGGUCUCCCACGUGGGCUGUGGACAGGGCCCAAGGGUAGCAGAGCUAGCAGAGGCAGUGACGGACUGUGUGGCAGCUUCUUCUUGGUUUCUUCGUACAUUCUGGAUCCACCCCUUUCAUGCAUAUUCCAGACCACAUUUCCACUGGAGCAGUUGAAAUGAGAGAGAUGGGAAUGGGACUCACCCGAACCAGAGGAAUUUUUAUUACAGACCCAUUAACAGAGGUGUCAAAGUCACAGGAACAAGGAUGUGCACCUCAGAAACACAGAGGUCAGUGGAAAAUCAGUUUGCUUCUAUUUGUUUAAAAAAUGGGGGACUUAUGCAUAAAUCUAAGACCUUCUUGAAUCUAACAUUCUAAGACCUGUAUGCCACAGAAAGGAGGGUCUCAGAACGCCGGAGGAUAGUAUUUAAAUCUUAAAUAUCUAUAUUGUUCUCCACAGUUACUGGGUCACCACAUAGCAGGCAUUCAAUAAAAACGUGUUUGUUUACUAAGUAA